rfam:[Clostridium] stercorarium subsp. stercorarium DSM 8532 chromosome, complete genome.
GGCAUACGAUGAAGUUGGAGAUUGCCGGAAUUCCGGGGAACUUCAACGGAGAAUGUCCGAUUCGUAGAAACCGGGCGACAA